UCGUGUUGGGCGUGUUGGCUGCAGUUUCGAAUCGAAAUCAAGUUUUACUCGCGUGUGCUUAUGAAAAAUAACCUCCGUCAUCAAAUCCGCCGGGUGAACGAACCGGAACAUCUCCGGGAUGGCGGAUUUUUCUCACAUUUGGUGGGCGUGUGGAGCUGUUCGGUUACGGGACAAAACCCGCAGUGGAAACGCAGACCCGGCGCAUACUGCGGACAUUUCCGGCCACCGUCAAUAAUCCAUUCCGAAUGGAGGCCUCCAAGAUGCCAAGUGCUCGAUCUGGAAAAGCUACGAGGAGUUCGAACAUCUUCGUGUGAGUAUUUGACAUUUUAUUCUAUUGGAAAAGGAUAGAGCCACGGGGCGGAAUCCCACUCCGCAGUAGGCAAGAAAACUGUGACGUAGCAAAUGAGCUCAAAGAACUCAGUGGUUUGAUAGGUGUCGUUUUCACGACUUAACAUUUCUUUUUUGAAUUUGAAUUUGCUUCCGAUUGCGCGAAACGUCAAAACCUGAGUUUUUUUCGGAUAAGUGUGCAUCUGUCCGUGUUCGUGUACGCGCAAUUGACCACGUAGUUGCCUGUUCCUUGUCGUUCCCGUGGCCGUGCUCUAGGCUGUGUCCUUGUCCGAACUCCUGACCGUGUUCGUGUCUGUGCUUCUGGCCGUUUUCGUGUCCCUGGCCGUGUAGGUGCCUGUUCCUGGCCAUUCCCGUGGCCGUGUCCUUGUCGUGCUCCUAACCGUGUUUGUGUCCAUGCGAAACGGAACAACCGGAACAAAAUUUUGAGUCCCGGCACUGACACCUGUCAAAAAAGUUCAUUUGGUUUAUUUAUGUUGUAUUUCGUGAGAGCUAAAUUUAUUUGAUUCUAUCUUGUUCGAGUGUCAGAAGUAGAAUCGUGAAUGAAUGCUUGAAUGAUUGAUGGUUGCUUCGAUUGCUUGAAUGGGUUGCUUCGUUAGUCCAGGGUGUGCAACAAUUUACCUUUGAGAGUCUACUACUUCCAACGCGGAUGCUCGUAGACGUGAAAUGCGGACAUUCCAGUUUGCCAUCAUGGUUCCUUUCUUGGUGGCAACGUUAAUUCCUGAAGCAGCAGGACAUUUGAAGAUGAAGAAGUGGACUCUCGACAAAACGGAGCUUUUGGCCGACAGCUUGAAGCGGAAUUACGAAAGAAAACGUCGGAGGGAGCCCAACGACAGUUUCAACUCGACCGCGGCGGUGAUUAAAGGAAACCCUUCCUGAAUGGCGAGAUGCUGGACGGACGGCGGUGACGAAAAUCCUGACGGGAGUUGUGAGUGAUGAGUAAUAAGAAAAGCUUGGUUUGUUUCUAAUAAAUUGUUUCAUUUUUGAAGUUCAAUUUAAAAAAAAACAGUGUAAAUGAAACUAAAAUAAAAUAAAACAUACUGUUAAUUUAAGGAAAAUACCGUAAAACAUACCAUAAAUAAAAUAAAAGUACAAUAAAACCUGCUGUAGUUAUUAUUUAUUUCAAUGUACGAAUAUAGUUUAAACAGUACUAUUUAGCAGGGAAAAAAUCUUGAAGAACUAUACAUUUACUGUGAAAUCCAUUGUAAAGGUUACUGUAUUUGUUGUAAAUGUAUGAUGUUUUCUAUAGUCAGGGCAAGUUUUUGAAUGAAAAAUGCAACAUUAGAUUAACAGUAAAAUGCGUCGUAUUUGGAAAAAAAAUGUAUGGAAAAAUUUCGAAAUUUUUAUGGUACCGGUGCAUAACAACCCCCCUUUUUUAUGGUAAAGUCCCAAAAUACGACGCAAAUUAUCUUAAAAAACGAUGCUAUCUACUGUUAAAA